CUGCUGCCUUCCGUAGGAGUUUGGGCCGUGUCUCAGUCCCAAUGUGGCCGUUCACCCUCUCAGGCCGGCUACUGAUCGUUGCCUUGGUAGGCCAUUACCCCCACCAACUAGCUAAUCAGACGCGGAACCAUCGUAUACCACCAGAGUUUUUCACACCGCUUCAUGCGAAGCUGUGCGCUUAUGCGGUAUUAGCACCUAUUUCUAAGUGUUAUCCCCCAGUAUACGGCAGGUUUUCCACGCGUUACUCACCCGUCCG
rnacentral:rRNA from 1 species